rnacentral:lncRNA from 1 species
GCUGCUGUCGCCGCUCCCCAAGGCGAGGGCAGCACGGGCGGCGGCAGCGCCGAGCCCAGCGCGCCCCGCGGAGCCGCUGCGGGCGGGCAGCGGGCACGGGCAUGGCAAUGCGGCAUGCACCGCCUGGCUGACCACCGGUAUCUUCAGUCUUGGGCAGAGGAGCAUCCUGAAAAGAGUAUUCACGCCAAGAAAAAGAGACUAAUUUUAUUUUGCUGA